UACGAAGGGGGCUAGCGUUGUUCGGAAUUACUGGGCGUAAAGCGCACGUAGGCGGACUAUUAAGUCAGGGGUGAAAUCCCGGGGCUCAACCCCGGAACUGCCUUUGAUACUGGUAGUCUCGAGUCCGGAAGAGGUGAGUGGAAUUCCGAGUGUAGAGGUGAAAUUCGUAGAUAUUCGGAGGAACACCAGUGGCGAAGGCGGCUCACUGGUCCGGAACUGACGCUGAGGCGCGAAAGCGUGGGGAGCAAACAGG
rnacentral:rRNA from 1 species